GCUGAGGGCGCUGCUGUCGUUGGUGUUCUGUACCGCGCCUGCCCGACGCUCACGGCUCCGGGGGCCCAUGGCCAGAAGAGACUCAGGAAUGGCAGUCUGUCACGGUUGUGAGCCGCCCCUUGGUUAGCACACACCUCACGGACCUCGGUAGGGGGAAACAACCACCCAUGCUCCUGGACUUCCCCUUCCGCCGGCGCUUGUGCGUCACUUCCGGGAAGAGCGCAUCUCGCCAACCAGAAUUGAGGAGGGUGUAGCCAGUGCUAAGUUCGCUUGCGGCUGACCUUUCUUUUGAAUGUCGUGAGUUCCAUUUGUCCCAGAAUACGGUCCGCUACCGCUGUGACAUGAGUGUUAGGGAAGGCGGGUUGUCACGUUUCUACAAGCCUUCCAGUCAAAAGGGAAACCUUGCCUAAGUCCUUGUAGUUGAGAAAUCUCUAAGAGGUGGAAGCAAAUACUGCACAUGCGUGUUGGUCCUGUGAGGGAAACCAGCUAGUGGAGAGGGAGAGGUUGAAGGAACAGAAAAAUGAGAAGAUAACUCACUGGAGGCUGAAGUGGGAGGAUCGCUUGAGUCUGGAAGCUUGAGACUGCAGCAAGCUGUGAUCGUGACACUGCACUCCAGCCUGGGCAACAAAGUAAGAUCCUGUCUCAAAAGAAAAAAAAAAAAGGUAUGUUUUUCCAUUUUAAUUAAAUCAUUUAUGUUU
rnacentral:lncRNA from 1 species